UGAGGAACUAGCUCUUGCUGAUAUUGUGUUAACGUCUCAUACAAUCCAUAGUAAUCUAAGACAUUCACGCACCAUCCAUCUACAGCUCUAACAGUAUUUGUUUCUUUACAGAACCAUCUUCUCAUCAUGAGAGCGAAGUGGCGAAAGAAGCGUAUGCGCAGGCUGAAGCGUAAAAGGAGAAAGAUGAGGCAGAGGUCAAAGUAAACUGGACCCUGUUCGCUGAAGCUGAGAGUGCUCUUCCACUUCAAUUUUCUCUGCAAGAGUCCGCUGGAAGCCCAACUGAAGCUCUACUCCACCAUCUGAGGUCUGCUUCUGAAUGAGGAUUUGGUUUUCCAUCACCUGGUUCUGCAGAAGCAUCCUGGUCUUGACCAUGUGAACUGUUUUGGACAUUCCUUAGACCUGUCAGCUCAGCAAGUUUAAUGUCUUUAAUAAAUCUUUUUGGUUUAAA